rnacentral:rRNA from 1 species
GGCGGACGGGUGAGUAAUGCUUAGGAAUCUGCCCAGUAGUGGGGGACAACUCGGGGAAACUCGAGCUAAUACCGCAUACGCCCUACGGGGGAAAGCAGGGGAUCUUCGGACCUUGCACUAUUGGAUGAGCCUAAGUCGGAUUAGCUUGUUGGUGAGGUAAAGGCUCACCAAGGCGACGAUCCGUAGCUGGUCUGAGAGGACGAUCAGCCACACUGGGACUGAGACACGGCCCAG